AUUGAACGCUGGCGGCAUGCUUUACACAUGCAAGUCGAACGGCAGCACGGACUUCGGUCUGGUGGCGAGUGGCGAACGGGUGAGUAAUACAUCGGAACGUGCCCAGUUGUGGGGGAUAACUACUCGAAAGAGCAGCUAAUACCGCAUGAGAACUGAGGUUGAAAGCAGGGGAUCGUAAGACCUUGCGCAACUGGAGCGGCCGAUGGCAGAUUAGGUAGUUGGUGGGAUAAAAGCUUACCAAGCCGACGAUCUGUAGCUGGUCUGAGAGGACGACCAGCCAUACUGGGACUGAGACACGGCCCAGACUCCUACGGGAGGCAGCAGUGGGGAAUUUUGGACAAUGGGCGAAAGCCUGAUCCAGCAAUGCCGCGUGCAGGAUGAAGGCCUUCGGGUUGUAAACUGCUUUUGUACGGAACGAAAAGCUUCGGGUUUAUACCCUGGAGUCAUGACGGUACCGUAAGAAUAAGCACCGGCUAACUACGUGCCAGCCGCCGCGGUAA
rnacentral:rRNA from 1 species